UGCGUAGGCGGCCAAAUUAGUCAGGGGUGAAAGCUCGCAGCUCAACUGCGGAAUUGCCUUUGAUACUGUUUGGCUUGAAUCAGGAUGAGGUCAGCGGAAUGUGGCAUGUAGCGGUGAAAUGCAUAGAUAUGCCAUAGAACACCAAUUGCGAAGGCAGCUGACUAGACCUGCAUUGACGCUGAGGCACGAAAGCGUGGGGAGCGAACAGGAUUAGAUACCCUGGUAGUCC
rnacentral:rRNA from 1 species